UGCCAGCAGCCGCGGUAAUACGUAGGGUGCGAGCGUUGUCCGGAAUUAUUGGGCGUAAAGAGCUUGUAGGCGGUUUGUCGCGUCUGCCGUGAAAAUCCGGGGCUCAACCCCGGACUUGCGGUGGGUACGGGCAGACUAGAGUGUGGUAGGGGAGACUGGAAUUCCUGGUGUAGCGGUGAAAUGCGCAGAUAUCAGGAGGAACACCGAUGGCGAAGGCAGGUCUCUGGGCCACUACUGACGCUGAGAAGCGAAAGCGUGGGGAGCGAACAGGAUUAGAUACCCUGGUAGUCCACGCCGUAAACGUUGGGAACUAGGUGUGUCUCAUUCCACGAGAUCUGUGCCGCAGCUAACGCAUUAAGUUCCCCGCCUGGGGAGUACGGCCGCAAGGCUAAAACUCAAAGGAAUUGACGGGGGCCCGCACAAG
rnacentral:rRNA from 1 species